rnacentral:lncRNA from 14 species
ACCUAAACAUCAGCAGCUCCCUUUCUCUGCACAGAAUGGGAAGGACCAUCGGGAAUAACCAGGAGUGUGCAGAGUGCCUGAAUAGGCUCUUGUCCCCAGUGUCCUCAGUCACCAGAGCACACCAAGUGCCAGAGGGGUAAGUGGGAGCAAAUUAGCACCCUGGAGCUCCAUGUCCACAGCAGCUUCACACCCCUGCAGCCAGUGGCCACCACAGCUCCUCCCAUGCAACAGAGCAUCCUGUCUACUGCCACAGAAACACACAGCAGCAAGCGAGGUCUAUCUGUUGACAUUGGCUCUCCUGAGCGGAGCGUUGGGCCACGCCAGAAGCUGAGUGUACAACUCUCCUUGUGUUUCCCACUUUCCCAGGGGUUAUCACCUAUGAAAUCUCACACACACCCAUGGCCAGAAAAGGUUUCUGAUGUAGAGGCAGGUGAAAGGUGCCCACUGGUCCCAUGGUGGUGAGUUUGGGUGCCCCAUGCUUCCCUGCCAGAGGGGUUUUGAGUGGAUGGGUAAAGCCACAGCAAAGGCAGCCUGCGGUGGGAUGAGCAUGGUCAGAGGUCUGUAGAGCUGUGAUGAAAAUCAGGGCAUCAAACCAGCU